rnacentral:sRNA from 1 species
UCGAGCGAAGCGAGAGAACGUUGCCGCAGGCAAUGGCCCGAAGGCGAGGCGCUUUAGCGCCGAGUAAUCCUUACCCCACCACUG